GCACAUGAGCAGUUUCACUUGGUUCUGCCUUCCCCGAUAAGGCUAAUCGCGAGACGAACCAAAUGGCCUUCCAAGUUGCCCCUUUCUGGGCAUAUGCAUAUGUGACGUCAGCUAAGGGCUAAGGCCCAAAGAAAAAAAGCAGGCUUAGAUGGCAAAGAGGAAGCAGAACAGUGAGAACUGAAGCUGUCUGCCAACAUCUGUGAUCUUCUUCUGAGAGUUGUGCUCGGAAUUUGGGGGUCAGCGUUUCGCUUUUCUGUGCUGUACAUCGUGUUGGCGUCUGUUCAUCCAUCACCAACGGGACUGCUGCCACCCAAUUUAAUGGCGAUGGAGGGACUAUGGAUGUCUAAGGAAAGGGGACUGCAAGGAAAUGCUGCCUUGAAAGGUGGAAGCAAACAGCAAAAGAUUCACAGCUACACGCUCUCAAAUCUGAGUGAUGUUGAGAGCAUUACCCCUACCGAUCUUCUUUGACAAUUUUGUUCUUGUUGAAGUUAAUCUAGAUGGCUAAGGACAGUAUAGAUUGCAGAACUUGACUAGUCUUCUCCGCACUUUGAAAUUUGUCUCUUUUGUUUCAAUUUUUCAUUUCCUUAGUUUUUCUUGUCAGGUUGAAGAUUGUUAUGGGGAGAUCUUGCAGUACCAUUGAUGAAAGGAGAGCUCUUUGUCCUUUGUGAA